rnacentral:lncRNA from 1 species
GGGGACGAAGUUUGUUUAAAUUAUUUUUUUUUUUUGUAUUUUAAAUAUUUGUUAAAAAAAAGAUACGGAAAUACCGUAACGUUUCCGAUUUUGGUUCUGUUGUUAGGGAUUUUACUUGUGACGUUAUUUAAGUUAUGACGUCAUGUUCAAUGUAAACAAAGAAACGCAAUGCAUCAGGUAGGCCUAACGUUUAUUCAUACCAAAGACAAAGAAUGAUUAAAAAUGAAAUAUUGGUAUUGUGUUCCUAGAGUUCCUAUAUUUUACUAGACUAAUCAAAGUCUCACGACAACAAGACCGGAAGGAGGAAGUAGAGUUAUGUGUUCUGCGCAGAUCCGGAAAUUAAAAAACACGACAAAAAAAAAUUGAACGAUUUUGAGUUCAUUAGUACAAUGAAAAAUUCGGGAAAUUUUCCCGAUUUUUUUUUUUUUUAUUGAAUUUUCUACUGUAAUAGGGGACUUCGUCCACAUAUUAUAU